CUCUUAGCAUUUUUGUCUGUAGCUGGAAAGCACAAAUUUGUUUUUGGACAGCAAUCAUCUCACUGUCAUUUGGCAUUCGUAGUAUGGUCCCCUGGCAGUCAUUUGCAGUGUAAAUUCGAGUCACAUCCCUGCAGUUUUGCUAUCACUCUUACUAUAAAGUCACCUUGCAGGUUUCCUCUACUAUGUUGUGAUUAUUUUUCAACUUUAUUGCUAUGCUGAUUUGUUUACCAUAUGCUUAUUGAUGAAUUUUGCUCUUAACCCAGAGGUCUUUCUUCAGUGACUGGUAAUAAGAUCAGGAAUCUUUACAGGACAAACCCGAGGAGCCUGAAGGAACCACAGCACUUAAAGAAGAAAAGCUCUGAGUAACUCUCUGCAUGAGUAGGCACUCGUUCAACCUGAGGAGCUCCGCUGAGUCACACUUGAAGAAUCACCUGUAUCAGAAAAGUAUAGAUUGUAACAUGGGACAACGGUACCAAAAACAGAGACCAUGAAGAACAAGUAUGUAUCCACUGUGUGUGAAAAUGUGGACAACUAUUUGGAAGAAAACAAGAGACAAUAUGAUGGACAGUGAAGAUCUCCUGUGGUCUUGCUUUGUAAUCUGUGUUUCUUAAAAUUGUUUCUUUAUGAUCUAUUUUGUUCUGUUUAAUUUUACCCUCUGUAAAAUAAAAAAAAAGAUGUUAACUGUUGAUACAUUAUAUAUGGAUUUUGUCAGAUUGAGAUAGAGAACAUCUAUUCUGAUUUUUCUGUAGGGAUUUAUCAUGGAUGAAUGUUGGGAUUUUGUCAAAGCUUUUUCUACAUCUAAUGAGAUGAUGAUGUGAUUCUUGUCUUUGGUUCUGAUGAUAUGAUGUAUUAAGUUUAUUGGUUUGCAUAUGUUGAACAACCUCUGCAUUCCUGGGAUUCCAACUUUAUCAUGUUAUAUAAUCUUCUUAAUGACUUGCUGUAUUCUAUUUGCAAAUAUUUUAU